CUGCUGACGUAGGAGCUGAGGUCAGGGGGUCGCCUCCAGGGAGGGGUCCGGGUGGCCUCGAGGGUGACGUCAGGGGUCACGUUGAGGUCACCCAAACUCAUUUGCAUAACUCUGCCUGCGUCACCUGGUCACUCACCUGCACGUCAGGUCCUGGGCUCCCGGUCGGUACGGGGUAUCGCUGACGUCACUCUGGGGUCACUAUGGGGUCGCUCUUCCCUGACGUCACUCUGGGGUCACUCUGUGCUGACGUCACUCUGGGAUCACUCUGUGCUGAAGUCACUCUGGGGUCACUCGGUGGUCGCUCUGCGCUGACGUCACCCUGGGGUCACUCUGACCUCCCACGUGUGUGUCGGAGACCCCACGGCGGGGCGGGACUGUUGUCUGACGUCACACUCUCUGCGGGACACCGACCUGGACUGUCACUCUCUGACGUCACAGACGCCCUCGCUGCCCUCGUCCGUGAUGGUGUCACAGGUUGCGGUGUCAGUCAGCGUCACAGCAGAUGAGCGACGUUACUGAUGACGUCACUGGGAUGCGGCAGCCGUGUCCCACUGACGUCAAAUGACAGGUCGCGGUAGAUCUGAGUCUGAUGAUGACGUGAGAUGACGUAGCGUGUUACGUCAUGACGACAGAGCAGUGCAGGUCACAGUAGAUGAACCACAGGGUCAGUGGGCGGAUGAUCUAUAUCUAUAUUGAUGUGACGAUGACGUCACUGACGGAUGACGUCACUCACUGAGGAUGACGCGGUGGCUGACGUCAUGACGUCAGAGGCCGGGGUCGCAGUCGACGUCUCACAGUCGACGUUGAGUCAGAUGAACCACAGGGUCACAUACAGCAGGCGGAUGAUCUGUAUCUAUGCAUAUUUAUGUAUGACGACGUCACUCACUGAUGAUGACGACACGGAUAAUGACGUCACCCUCGCGCGCUGACCUCACAGCCGGUGGUCACAGUCGACGUCGCGGCAAAUGUAUAACAGGAUCACGUACAGGACCAGGGGGCGGAUGAUCUAUGUGUGUACAUAUACGGUGAUGUUUUGAUGAUGACGUCACUCACUGACGGAUGACGCGAUGGAUGACGUCCUGACGUCAGAGGCCGAUGAACCACAGGGUCACGUACAGCGGGCGGAUGAUCUAUGUGUGCAUAUAUAUAUAUAUAUAUAUAUAUAUAUAUAUAAUAUAUAAUAUAGAUGAUGACGUCACUCACGGAAGAUGACGCAAUGGAUAACGCAAUGACGCGCUGACGUCACAGCCUGUGGUCGCACUCCACGUCGUGGCAGAUGAAGCACAGGAUCACGUACAGCAUUAAGAUGAUCUAUGUGUGCAUAUAUACGGUGAUGAUGUGAUGACGACACGAUGACGACACUGGUGAUGACGUCAACGUCACGCACUGACGUUGCGGCCCGUGGUCGCAGUCCACGUCGCGGCAGAUGAACCACAGGAUCACAUACAGGAUCAGCGGGCGGAUGGUCUGUGUGUGUAUAUAUAUAUUGACGGUGGCGAUGACGUCACUCACGGAUGAUGAAGACGCUGAUGAUGACGUCACCCGUACGCGCUGACGUCACAGGCCGUGGUCGCAGUCCACGUCGCGGCAGAUGAACCCCAGGAUCACGUACAGGGGCGGAUGGUCUGUGUGUGCGUAUAUAUAUAUAUUGACGGUGGCGAUGACGUCACUCGCUGGUGAUGACGACACGGGUGAUGACGCGGUGGGUGACGCGCUGACGUCACAGGCCGUGGUCGCAGUCCACGUCGCGGCAGAUGUACCACAGGAUCACGUACAGGAUCAGCAGGAUCGCGAAGAUGAACAGCGCCACCAGCACCGCCUUCGUCACCGGCGACACCAGCGCCUGCAUGGCCACGCCCCGGGGACCGCCCCGCCCCCCGCGCCCGCCCGGCCCCCGCCCCCGCGCCGCCGGCCACGCCCUCCGCGACCCCCGCCCGGCCCGGACCCCCCG
ensembl:lncRNA